ACUCAAAUGAAUUGACGGGGACCCGCACAAGCGGUGGAUGAUGUGGAUUAAUUCGAUGCAACGCGAACAACCUUACCUACCCUUGACAUGUCCGGAAGCCCGGUGAAAGCUGGGGGUGCUCGCAAGAGAACCGGAACACAGGUGCUGCAUGGCUGUCGUCAGCUCGUGUCGUGAGAUGUUGGGUUAAGUCCCGCAACGAGCGCAACCCUUGUCCUUAGUUGCUACGCAAGGGCACUCUAAGGAGACUGCCGGUGACAAACCGGAGGAAGGUGGGGAUGACGUCAAGUCCUCAUGGCCCUUAUGGGUAGGGCUUCACACGUCAUACAAUGGUCGGUACAGAGGGUAGCCAACCCGCGAGGGGGAGCCAAUCCCAGAAAGCCGAUCGUAGUCCGGAUCGCAGUCUGCAACUCGACUGCGUGAAGUCGGAAUCGCUAGUAAUCGCGGAUCAGCAUGUCGCGGUGAAUACGUUCCCGGGUCUUGUACACACCGCCCGU
rnacentral:rRNA from 1 species